rnacentral:rRNA from 1 species
CGGAUUAGCGGCGGACGGGUGAGUAACACGUGAGUAACCUGCCUUAGACAUUGGGAUAGCCUCGGGAAACCGGGAUUAAUACCAAAUAAAAUCAUAAUGACACAUGUCAUAACGAUCAAAACUCCGGUGGUCUAAGAUGGACUCGCGUCCCAUUAGCUAGUUAGUAGAGUAAAAGCCUACCAAGGCGACGAUGGGUAGCCGGCCUGAGAGGGUGAACGGCCACAUUGGAACUGAGAAACGGUCCAA